rnacentral:rRNA from 1 species
GAUGAACGCUGGCGGCGUGCCUAAUACAUGCAAGUCGAGCGAAUGGAUUAAGAGCUUGCUCUUGUGAAGUUAGCGGCGGACGGGUGAGUAACACGUGGGUAACCUGCCCAUAAGACUGGGAUAACUCCGGGAAACCGGGGCUAAUACCGGAUAACAUUUUGAACCGCAUGGUUCGAAAUUGAAAGGCGGCUUCGGCUGUCACUAAUGGAUGGACACGCGUCGCAUUAGCUAGUUGGUGAGGUAACGGCUCACCAAGGCAACGAUGAGUAGCCGACCUGAGAGGGCGAUCGGCCACACUGGGACUGAGACACGGCCCAGACUCCUACGGGAGGGAGCAGUAGGGAAUCUUCCGCAAUGGACGAAAGUCUGACGGAGCAACGCCGCGUGAGUGAUGAAGGCUUUCGGGUCGUAAAACUCUGUUGUUAGGGAAGAACAAGUGCUAGUUGAAUAAGCUGGCACCUUGACGGUACCUAACCAGAAAGCCACGGCUAACUACGUGCCAGCAGCCGCUGUAA